UAGAGAUUCGUGAUCCUCAUCACAAGGGGAUUACAAGGAACGGGCGCAGGAGCGUCAAGCGGACAAGCGGGCGGCGAACCACGUUUAAAGGGGCUACUUUGAAGGAUGCAAGGCGUUCAUGGUGACGUAAUGGAUCUUACGGAUGGCGGUCGAGCGAAUAAUGAAGAACCGAACACUACAUUUUGAAGCUUCCGCAAUGUUUUAAUCUUUAGUAGUCCUUGUGUAUGGGUUGUAAACACUUGUUAAACUACUUUUAAAAUGUUUUAACUUAGUCUUUAGUUGACUAAGAUUGACGUACUUAU
rnacentral:lncRNA from 1 species